AUUUGAUCUGAAAUCAGGUGGGAUUACC
rnacentral:rRNA from 1 species